AUAUUUGGAAAUACUGUAGAAAGUAUACAAUAUAACUAGAGCGUUAAAAUACAUGUAAAUUCUGAUGCGUAAUCAAACACGUUAUAAAUCUCAUAGAAGAACUCACUUAUGACUUUUUGUAUGUGUCUCUAACUAGAAUUUGGGGAACUAAAAAAAAUUUGGUUUUUUACGUUUCAAUUUCAAGGGUUUUUAACUCAUGUCGUUGCACUCUGAUCCUCUUUCCCUCUGCCAAACCAAACAAGUGUGUGCAUGGGUCAAACUAAGAAGCUGAUAGAAGCCAUUUUGAAGAACAGCAACAAUCCAAAGCUGGCAUGGCAUCUGCUAAAGCGUGUUUUAUCUUCCCCUUUGUCUUCAUCAUCUUCUUCCACUUCUACUCAACAUCUUGUUGCUACCACCACACGCAUCCUUGUUGGCGCGAACAUGCAUCCCGAACUCCACCAUCUCCACCAACUCCUUCUCUCUCAGCCCAACCACAUUGCCCAUUCUUCCAUCAUCUCCAUCGUUCGAGUCUUAGCCCAAACUGGCCACAUCGACAACGCUUUCUCACACUUCAAAUCCCUAAGAACUCAAUUCCCAUCAACACCCCCUUCCCUUCACCUCUACAACCUUCUCCUUCGCUCAACCCUCCAACAUAACCGCUCCGAUUUCGUCACGUGGUUAUACUCCGACAUGAUUGCCGCUGGUGUUAGCCCCCAAACCUACACCUUCAACCUCUUCAUUCAAUCCCUGUGCGAGUCACGUGCUUUUGAUCCCGCCCUGCAACUGUUCGAUAAAAUGUCUGAAAAAGGUUGUAACCCUAAUGAGUUCACUCUUGGGAUUUUGGUUCGCGGAUUGUGCCGAGCUGGCCUCACUAAACAAGCCUUGCAGCUUGUUAACAGGUUUAGUCAUAAUGCUAAUAGGGUUGUGUAUAAUACUAUUGUUUCUAGGUUUUGUAGAGAGGAGUUGAAUGAUGAAGCUGAGAAAUUGGUUGAGAGGAUGAGAGAGAAGAGUGUGUUGCCUGAUGUUGUUACCUUCAAUUCGAGGAUUUCGGCACUUUGUAGAGCCGGGAAGGUUUUGGAGGCGUCCAGGAUUUUCAGAGAUAUGCAGAUGGAUCAAGAAUUGGGACUUCCCAGACCCAAUGUGGUAACUUAUAAUUUGAUGCUUAAGGGGUUUUGUAAGCAAGGGAUGAUGGAGGAAGCAAGAGGUUUGGUUGAAACCAUGAAGAAAGUUGGUAACUUUGUCAGUCUGGAAAGUUAUAACAUAUGGUUGUUGGGCUUGCUUAGGCAUGGAGAACUGUUGGAGGCUCGGUUAGUUCUUGAUGAAAUGGUGGCGAAAGGCAUUGAACCUAAUGCUUACACGUAUAACAUUAUGAUGGAUGGGCUGUGCAGGAACCGUAUGAUGUCAGAUGCAAGAGGGUUGAUGGAUCUGAUGAUAAGCAAUGGGAUUUACCCAGAUACUGUUACUUAUAGCACUCUCCUUCAUGGAUAUUGUAGCAAAGGGAAGGUUUUUGAAGCUAAAAAUGUUCUACGUGAAAUGAAAAGGAACGGUUGUCAUCCUAAUAUUUAUACUUGCAACACAUUGCUGCAUAGCCUGUGGAAAGAGGGGAGAACAAUAGAAGCAGAGGAAAUGCUGCAAAAGAUGAAUGAGAAAUGCUAUCAACUAGAUACUGUGACCUGCAAUGUUGUGGUCAAUGGUCUCUGUAGAAAUGGAGAACUGGACAAAGCAAUUGACAUUGUAAGUGAGAUGUGGACUAAUGGACCAACAUCCCUUGAUAAAGGAAACUCAUUUGCCAGUCUAGUUAAUUCAAUCCAUAAUGUAUCAAAUAGCUUGCCUGAUGUAAUCACAUAUACAACUUUAAUUAAUGGACUUUGCAAAGUUGGGAGGCUAGAGGAAGCAAAGAAAAAGUUUAUUGAGAUGAUGGCUAAAAACUUGCACCCUGAUUCUGUGACUUAUGAUACAUUCAUAUUGAGUUUCUGUAAACAAGGGAAGAUAUCAUCAGCCUUCCGUGUCUUGAAGGAUAUGGAGAGAAAUGGUUGCAGAAAGACUCUUCAAACUUAUAAUUCAUUGAUCCUGGGCUUAGGAAGUAAAAACCAAAUAUUUGAAAUAUACGGAUUGGUGGAUGAAAUGAGAGAAAAAGGGAUACGUCCAGAUAUUUGCACUUAUAAUAACAUAAUCAGUUGCCUCUGCGAAGGAGGAAAAGCAAAGGAUGCCACUUCUCUUUUAAAUGAAAUGUUGGAAAAGGGCAUAUCUCCCAAUAUUUCUUCCUUCAAGAUAUUGAUUAAAGCCUUCUGCAAGUCUAGUGAUUUUAAAGUUGCUUUUGAACUAUUUGAGGUAGCUUGGAGUAUAUGUGGGCACAGAGAACCCUUGUACAGUUUGAUGUUCAACGAAUUACUUGCUGGAGGACAACUUGCUGAAGCAAAGGAGCUAUUUGAAGCUUCGAUAGAUAGAUUUCUCACGUUGAAGAAUUUCAUGUAUAAAGAUUUGAUUGAAAGACUUUGCCAGGAUUUAAGGCUAGAUGAUGCUAAUAGCCUUCUUCAUAAAUUGAUUGAUAAGGGAUAUAACUUCGAUCAUGCAUCAUUCAUGCCAGUGAUUGAAGGCUUAAGUAAAAAAGGAAAGAAGCAACAAGUGGAUGAACUAGCAAAGAGAAUGAUGGAAUUGAGUUUAGAAGAUAGAACUGCUGAUAAGUCUUAUCAAAUAGGGGAGAGAAUCAUUCCUCGAAAACUCCAUAAGGAUGGUGGAGGUGAUUGGCAGGAUAUACUUAACAGGGAUGGUGGUAGUGGAAUUGCACUGAAAACUCUGAAGCGUGUACAGAAAGGCUGGGGUCAAGGAAGUAUACCAAGUUUGCAGUCUCAGCGCAGUGAUUUCCUUGAUGACUAUGAUAUUAGUGGUUAAUGGUUUGUUUGUGAUGGGGUAUGUUUACCCUUUUCUUUAAGUUUCAACCACUGAGGUGGGAAGAGAAGGGAGUAGCAGAUAGGAUAAUGAAAAGGUUUGAGGUUGGAGAUAUUGAAGACCUCUUUGUAAGUAAAGCAGGUUUUCGUUUAAGUCUAUUGGUCCUUUCAAAGCUAAGAAUAAGCGAAACAAAAAUUAAUUCAAAACCCAGUUUAUGAGUUAUGCAAAUAUUGAUGUAAAAUUUCUCCCUCUUGUAUAUAUGUUGAAUAUUAAUUUUCUGGGAAGUGAACAGAAAGGUUGUUUGAUAAUGGUUGAACAUCUUUUAUCUUGGGAUUAUUGCCCUGUGGGUCCCUGGUCUACUUUGAAUGGCUUAGAGAAAGGACCCUUUUUCUUUUCGCUUCUUGGAUGCUUGGGAGUCUCCUUGGCUUUAUAAUGACUGAAGGUUGGACCACAGUCAACAAUUGGGAUUUCUCUUUGUUCUCAGCCAUUAACGGAGGAAAGAUCUCUAUCUCUGAUCCAGAAUGUUUUGAUUCUGAUUGAAUUUUCUAGAUAAUGUUUGAUGUGGCUGAAAUGCUUUAGCGCAGGUACCCAAACAUAUGCAUAUAAACACCACGAUGCUGAUCACGGAAGUAUUUAUGUCCCUUAAUGUGGAAGUGGGAGAUAUAUUAUGGGGACAAUUUGUGUUGAAUCAAUUAUAUGCAACGGAGUAAAAGGGAGACCUUGCAGGUUGAAGCCGGGUGCUUAAAGCAGGGUCUUAGCAAUU